UUAGCUUAGCAGUGGAUCACUCGGAUCAUGCGUUGAUGAAGAAUGCAGCUAGCUGUGAGAAUUAAUGUGAACUGCAGGACACAUUGAUCAUUGACACUUCGAAUGCACUUGCAGCCCUGAGUUUUGGGGCUGUGAAUGGGGUUG
rnacentral:rRNA from 1 species